rnacentral:rRNA from 1 species
GAUGAACGCUGGCGGCGUGCCUAAUACAUGCAAGUCGAGCGAACAGACGAGGAGCUUGCUCCUCUGACGUUAGCGGCGGACGGGUGAGUAACACGUGGAUAACCUACCUAUAAGACUGGGAUAACUUCGGGAAACCGGAGCUAAUACCGGAUAACAUGUUGAACCGCAUGGUUCAACAGUGAAAGACGGUCUUGCUGUCACUUAUAGAUGGAUCCGCGCCGCAUUAGCUAGUUGGUAAGGUAACGGCUUACCAAGGCAACGAUGCGUAGCCGACCUGAGAGGGUGAUCGGCCACACUGGAACUGAGACACGGUCCAGACUCCUACGGGAGGCAGCAGUAGGGAAUCUUCCGCAAUGGGCGAAAUCCUGACGGAGCAACGCCGCGUGAGUGAAGAAGGUCUUCGGAUCGUAAAACUCUGUUAUUAGGGAAGAACAAAUGUGUAUGUAACUAUGCACGUCUUGACGGUACCUAAUCAGAAAGCCACGGCUAACUACGUG